UACGUAGGGUGCGAGCGUUGUCCGGAAUUAUUGGGCGUAAAGAGCUCGUAGGCGGUCUGUCGCGUCGGUCGUGAAAACUUGGGGCUUAACCCUGAGCUUGCGGUCGAUACGGGCAUGACUGGAGUUCGGUAGGGGAGACUGGAAUUCCUGGUGUAGCGGUGAAAUGCGCAGAUAUCAGGAGGAACACCGGUGGCGAAAGCGGGUCUCUGGGCCGAUACUGACGCUGAGGAGCGAAAGCGUGGGGAGCGAACAGG
rnacentral:rRNA from 1 species